CUUCACUUCUCAUAUGUGUGCCAUUUCGGCCUCAUUGUCACGAUCAUUCUGAAGGUGUAGAGUGGGAACAGGUGGAAGCAUGAGCCAAGACACUCCUGGGCAAGCUGAAGAAAAUCUAAAUGAAAGCCAUCAGCACCUGGCAGACAGCUGAAGACAAAGCCUAUUCAGG
rnacentral:lncRNA from 1 species